rnacentral:rRNA from 1 species
UACGUAGGGUGCGAGCGUUAAUCGGAAUUACUGGGCGUAAAGCGUGCGCAGGCGGUGAUGUAAGACCGAUGUGAAAUCCCCGGGCUUAACCUGGGAAUGGCCAUGGAAACUGGCGAACUGGAGUGCGGCAGAGGGGGGUGGGAAUUCCGCGUGUAGCAGUGAAAUGCGUAGAGAUGCGGAGGAACACCGAUGGCGAAGGCAGCCCCCUGGGCUAGCACUGACGCUCAUGCACGAAAGCGUGGGGAGCAAACAGG